UGGAUGGUAGUGUAUUGGACUACCAUGGCUUUCACGGGUAACGGAGAAUUAGGGUUCGAUUCCGGAGAAGGAGCCUGAGAAACGGCUACUACAUCUAAGGAAGGCAGCAGGCGCGUAAAUUACCCAAUCCUGACUCAGGGAGGUAGUGACAAGAUAUAACGACGCGAUUUUAUAUUGUGAUUGUAGUGAGGGUAUUCUAAAUAUAACUUCGAGUACGAUUGGAGGGCAAGUCUGGUGCCAGCAGCCGCGGUAAUUCCAGCUCCAAUAGCGUAUAUUAAAGUUGUUGCAGUUAAAAAGCUCGUAGUUGGAUUUCAAGGACUAGGUAAGAAUACUUACCGAAGCCUAUCAGUCCGAGAGGACUGUUACUGUGAGAAAAUUAGAGUGUUUCAAGCAGGCGAUUGCAGGAAUACAUUAGCAUGGAAUAACGAGUAAGUCUAGAAUCUUGGUUAAUUCUAGAAAACGAUUAAUAGGGACAGUUGGGGGCAUUAGUAUUUAAUUGUCAGAGGUGAAAUUCUUGGAUUUGUUAAAGACUAACGUAUGCGAAAGCAUUUGCCAAGGAUGUUUUCAUUAAUCAAGAACGAAAGAUAGGGGAUCAAAGACGAUCAGAUACCGUC
rnacentral:rRNA from 1 species